rnacentral:rRNA from 1 species
CCUACGGGUGGCAGCAGUGGGGAAUAUUGCACAAUGGGCGCAAGCCUGAUGCAGCCAUGCCGCGUGUGUGAAGAAGGCCUUCGGGUCGUAAAGCACUUUCAGCGGGGAGGAAGGCGUUAAGGUUAAUAACCUUGUCGAUUGACGUUACCCGCAGAAGAAGCACCGGCUAACUCCGUGCCAGCAGCCGCGGUAAUACGGAGGGUGCAAGCGUUAAUCGGAAUUACUGGGCGUAAAGCGCACGCAGGCGGUCUGUCAAGUCGGAUGUGAAAUCUCUGGGCUCAACCUGGGAACUGCAUUCGAAACUGGCAGGCUAGAGUCUUGUAGAGGGGGGUAGAAUUCCAGGUGUAGCGGUGAAAUGCGUAGAGAUCUGGAGGAAUACCGGUGGCGAAGGCGGCCCCCUGGACAAAGACUGACGCUCAGGUGCGAAAGCGUGGGGAGCAAACAGGAUUAGAUACCCGGGUAGUC